UUUCCGUAGGUGAACCUGCGGAAGGAUCAUUACAGAGUCCGCCUACUUGUAGGCACCUCUCACCCUUGAAUACAUACCUUUGUUGCUUUGGCGGGCCGCCUCGGCCACCGGCUCCGGCUGGUGCGUGCCCGCCAGAGGACCCCAAACUCUUUUGUUUAGUGAUGUCUGAGUACUAUAUAAUAGUUAAAACUUUCAACAACGGAUCUCUUGGUUCUGGCAUCGAUGAAGAACGCAGC
rnacentral:misc_RNA from 1 species